rnacentral:lncRNA from 1 species
AUGCCAUGCCUCACUCCAGUGAAGGACGGACUCCUGUUCUGUCUCCUAAAACCCACACAGCUCGCCUGGAGCUUCAAACGUGAGAACACAUUCCAGUUGCAGGAUCAGAGGACUUUUCCUACAGCACGUAAGUGCCUGCAGUUCUAUUGGAUUUGCAAAUCUACAAAAGAGAGCACAUCCUAUUGUUCCUGGUUUUGAGGUUUUUUAAUAGUAUGUCUUGUAAAAUACUGGUUGCUGGUAGACAAGGGUGUUUUACAGAUAGGUGUGACUCAGGAGGGGAAAUGGGUGGACAGAGACAGCCACAAGGAAUUCCACACAUGAAGGAAAUGCUCCCACUCGUGUUUUCUAUUUGUGUUUUAAAUUUGGGGAGCGACUCACAGGCACUUAGCAAAAGUAACUAAUUAUAUUAACCUUAUCGGUAAUGAGGUUUCCUGGCUUCUCAUCAGACACUCAGCUCACUGGCUGGUAUUUAAUUGGGAGCCUGGUGGCCAGUGAAAACAGUGUGGGAUGAGUCACACUUUAACAAGUUUUCAUAGUACAGCAACCUUGCUGUAUAAUAGCCAGACGUUUUUAAAAUUCAGAUAUGGUACACUGACUUGUUUGUUUUCCUUAUUCACACGAAACAGAUGCUCAGGACUCGUUCUACUUAGACACAGUAAAUGAGGGUCAGCUGUGUUGAGGGAAGUGCGUACUUUGUCUGUUCUGGAAGGAUAGAUGUUGUAGCAAUUGUCUUGCUCUGAUUGUAUUUGAAAGGAAUGAAUGUUCUUAAUACAAUCUGGUAUUCUUCCAAUGCCUAGUUGGAGUUCAAGGGUUAUAAAACUGGGCCGUUGAGGAGUGGGAUGGAAAAGGAUGGAGAUGGAAGAUCAAAUAUGGCUUUGAAGGGGAUCAGCAGAGCCAGAGGCUCUUUGUGAAUGGCCCUUUGCACCCAUAGCUUGGUGGACCCAGCAUGGACCAUGGAGAGGGGACCUGCCUAAAAACCAGAGACUGGGUUUGCCUCUCCGCAUCGCCACUAGCUUGCUGCAUCAUCUUAUUCUGCCUUUCAGAUUCUUCACCUGUAACAAGGAAUGAUUGGGAUAGCUGGUUUUAUUUAUUUAUUUUUUGAGUCCAUUCUGGCACUUCGUAAAGUCCAAGGGGGUGUUGUAUUGUAAUUCUUGGAAUAAUACAGUGAACAUCAGAUGCUUUGAGCUUUUCCAAUGGGUAGAUUCUGGGAUUCUUUUCUGCACGAGUGAUACUAGCCAACAGAAAUCUCAUGGUUCAAACUCCAACUCAAAAGUUAUUGUGGGGAUGGGAAAUGGUAAGAUUGGGGAAAAUCCUUCCACCUUCCCCCCUGUGAAUUAGGAAUCUUGUUAAUCAGUACAUAUUAUUAAAUAUUGAGAUUUAUAGGCAUCAACCUGUGUGACCUGUGACAGUUGGGUAUCAAAACACAUCUUUAUCUGCAUUUCCACUAUCACUUCACAAUUUAUUCAGUGGAGCUGUCCAAUGAUGACAACUGUUAUCAUCCUUUCUCCAAAAGGUAGCAAAUGUCAAUUUUUUUUUUCAUAAACUGCCUUUAUUCGAAUCCCUCUCCCUCUCUCUCAUUGCUUCAGGGUCAGGGACUCAUAUAGCUUUUUAAAAUCACCUCAUGGGCAAAUGUGGAUGCUCUUGUACACUAUCCAUGAGUUAUGAGGUUGGUGGUGGUGAGGAUGUGAGGCUGGGUCUGGGAACAUGAGACUGUCUCCACACACGGUACAGGGUCACGUGAAGGAAGGGAGCCAAUGGAGGAAAGGAUGGAGUUUCAGAAACGCUGGCCAGGGCUCACGGUGUGGCCCUUGGGAGAACUGCCUUUCUUCAUCAGCAGUGACAUCCACACAUACCUGUAUGGCCUAUAAAUAAAAUAAAGGAGGGUCUGUGGAAUGAGAAGUGCAGUGAAUUAACUAAUGUGGAUAUAAGCUUUGUAAUGCAUACAAGGUGUUUGCAUGUGUGAUCUCACUGGCUUUCAGCACAGUUAGACUUGCGUUCCACCAUGAUUUACAACCUAGUUUCCAUCUACUACUUAAUUUGGCAAUUAAGAAAAAGUGAAUCAGAGAAGUUAAAUGACCUGCCUUGGUCACUAAGCUCAUAAGUGGCAUAGUGGAGACUUGAACCCAGGGCUUCUGACCCCUAAAAUUUCUACAAUUUCUUUCUUUAUUAUUAUGUAUAUUUUUUGAGACAGAGUUUUGCUCUUGUUGCCCAGGCUGGAGUACAGUGGCAGAUCUCACCUCACUGCAACCUCUGCCUUCCGGGUUCAAGCGAUUUUCCUGUCUCAGCCUCCUGAGUAGCUGGGAUUACAGGCACGCGCCACCACGCCUGGCUAAUUUUUUUUGUGUUUUUUUAGUAGAGAUGGCAUUUCACCAUGUUGGUCAGGCUGGUCUUGAAUUCCUGACCUCAGGUGAUCCACCCACCUUGGCCUCCCAAUGUGCUGGGAUUACAGGUGUGAGCCACUGCACCCGGCUGGUUAAAAUUCCCUCCUCUUAUAAGGACUAGGAUAAGAAGUUCAUUGGGUUUGGAUGGGGGUGGAGAAGCAUGUUACAUAUUAUUUACUUGAUUUCUCUGUACUUCAUUCUGAUCCCCCUCAUCAAGUAACUAGGCCAAGACUACCUCAUGCACAUCUUUUUAUUCUCUGACUCCCACAAAACAGCCUCUCUCCUCACUCCCUGCUGCCUUUGUGAGACAUGACUUGGCUGUGAAGGUGGGAGCAGGGCAAUCCUGGUGACCCAAUGACUGAACGAACCAUUAAGAAAGGAAGAGCAUCUUCUUCUUGACGAAAAAUUUGAUAUUUUCAAAACCAAGACCCUCUGGACUCAAAACAGUUUUUCAUCUUUCCUGCCAACCCUUCUUUCUUCUCAGUUCUCCCAUUGACCAUUUUUCUGAGUCAUCCAAUGAGGGAUCUGAACUGCAAAAGCAAGUUCCUACAUAGCUUUUCUCAGUCAGUGGCCAUCCCGUGUUUAGGGAGUGAUUGUUGGAAAUUUUCAGGUGGAAGCUUGUUUGGGAUAAAGGAGAAGGGCCUCUUCUGCAGCUUCUUUCUCUAAGUUGAUCACGUUUCCAACACUAGCUGAAAAUCUAAAUUAAGCCCUAGUGAUGACUCCCAUCAUCAUAACUUGGCUUCAGCUGUCCAGAGCGUGUGUUUGCUCCAUGCCACUGCCCGACCCAGUCCAUCCAUGCCUUAGGAAGAGGUGGGGCCUGAAACAGAUAUUGUUGGUGAGAUAGCAAAAUUCAGUGAUUAAUCAAGUAUUCAUGGCUCAGUGGCCA